GACGAACGCUGGCGGCGUGCUUAACACAUGCAAGUCGAACGGAAAGGCCCUGCUUUUGUGGGGUGCUCGAGUGGCGAACGGGUGAGUAACACGUGAGUAACCUGCCCUUGACUUUGGGAUAACUUCAGGAAACUGGGGCUAAUACCGGAUAGGAGCUCCUGCUGCAUGGUGGGGGUUGGAAAGUUUCGGCGGUUGGGGAUGGACUCGCGGCUUAUCAGCUUGUUGGUGGGGUAGUGGCUUACCAAGGCUUUGACGGGUAGCCGGCCUGAGAGGGUGACCGGCCACAUGGGGACUAAGAUACGGCCCAGACUCCUACGGGGGGCAGCAGUGAGGAAUAUUGCACGAUGGGCGGAAGCCUGAUGCAGCAACGCCGCGUGCGGGAUGACGGCCUUCGGGUUGUAAACCGCUUUCGCCUGUGACGAAGCGUGAGUGACGGUAAUGGGUAAAGAAGCACCGGCUAACUACGUG
rnacentral:rRNA from 1 species